UAAAAGCACGUGAAGCCGUUGAAAGGGAAACGCGCUCGGCUAGCAAUGUGCCACGACGGUUCAGCCGUUUUGAGGGGUGAGGUGGUCGUUGUCGGAUCCGAAUGGACCGCGGCGGUCGCCGUCGCCCUUCGAAACACGGUGCACUCUUUCGUGGUACGCGUCAGCGUCGGUUCGCGGCGAGUGACAAGGCUCGGUGGAAGGUAGCUCGAGGCUUGCCUUGAGUGUUACAGCCGCCGGUGCUGGGCUCACCGCGGACCGAGGAGAGAGAGUAUCUUUGCAGCGCAUGCCGCAAGGCUAGCUGCCCGCCGCCCGGUUCGUUCCACUCGCCSAGGACUGCACGCAGUGCUUGGCUUGGCGGAGUGGCCUGGUGGUGGUGUCGGUAUAAAUGCGCUCAGGACGCUGGCGUCCAAAUGGCCGUGCGCGA
rnacentral:rRNA from 1 species